ensembl:miRNA
UCCCCUGUGUGUGUUCUCUGAUGGACGGCGAGGCCCGACCUAUAUCCAAAAGUUUUCCCACAUUCGGUACAUUCAUAGGGUUUU